GAUGAACGCUGGCGGCGUGCUUAACACAUGCAAGUCGAACGAAGCGACUUUACGGAAGUUUUCGGAUGGAAGUGAGGUUGACUGAGUGGCGGACGGGUGAGUAACGCGUGGGUAACCUGCCUCAUACAGGGGGAUAACAGUUAGAAAUGACUGCUAAUACCGCAUAAGCGCACAGUAUCGCAUGGUACAGUGUGAAAAACUCCGGUGGUAUGAGAUGGACCCGCGUCUGAUUAGCUAGAUGGCGGGGUAACGGCCCACCAUGGCGACGAUCAGUAGCCGGUCUGAGAGGAUGAACGGCCACAUUGGGACUGAGAUACGGCCCAG
rnacentral:rRNA from 1 species